rnacentral:rRNA from 1 species
AUACGGAGGGUGCGAGCGUUGUUCGGAAUUAUUGGGCGUAAAGCGCGUGUAGGCGGUUUCUUAAGUCUGAUGUGAAAGCCCCGGGCUCAACCUGGGAAGUGCAUUGGAAACUGGGGGACUUGAGUACGGGAGAGGGAAGCGGAAUUCCUGGUGUAGAGGUGAAAUUCGUAGAUAUCAGGAGGAACACCGGUGGCGAAGGCGGCUUCCUGGACCGAUACUGGCGCUGAGACGCGAAAGCGUGGGGAGC